rnacentral:rRNA from 1 species
GACGAACGCUGGCGGCGUGCUUAACACAUGCAAGUCGAACGGAAAGGCCCUGCUAGUGUGGGGUUCUCGGUUGGCGAUCGGGUGAGUAACAGGUGAGUAACCUGCCCUUCACUUUGGGAUAAGUUCACGAAACUAGGGCUAAUAUAGUAUAGGAGAUCCUGUUCCAUGGUGGGGGUGGGAACGUUGAGGCGGGUGGGGUUGGACUCGCGGCUUAUCAGUUUGUUGGUGGGGUAGUGGCAUACCAAGGCUUUGACGGGUAGCCGGCCUGAGAGGGUGACCGGCGACAUUGGGACUAAGAUACGGCCCAGAGUCGAACGGGGGGCAGUGGGGGGGAAUAUUGGACAAUGGGAGGAAGCCUGAGGAAGAAACGCCGGGGGCGGGAUGACGGCCUUCGGGUUAUAAACAGCUUUCGCCUGUGACGAAGCGUUAGUGACGGUAAUGAGUAAAGAAGCACCGGCUAACUACGUG